rnacentral:rRNA from 1 species
GAUGAACGCUGGCGGUGUGCCUAACACAUGCAAGUCGAGCGGACGGACGAUAAGCUUGCUCCCUUGCUGUUAGCGGCGGACGGGUGAGUAACACGUGGAUAACCUACUUAUUAGACUGGGAUAAUUUCGGAAAACCGGAGCUAAUACCGGAUGAUACUUUGAACCGCAUGGAUCAAAAGUGAUUGACGGUUUUGCUGUCACUAAUAGAUGGAUCCGCGCUGCAUUAGCUAGUUGGUAAGGUAACGGCUUACCAAGGCAACGAUGCAUAGCUGACCUGAGAGGGUGAUCAGCCACACUGGAACUGAGACACGGUCCAGACUCCUGCGGGAGGCAGCAGUAGGGAAUCUUCCACAAUGGGCGCAAGCCUGACGGAGCAACGCCGCGUGGGUGAUGAAGGUCUUCGGGUCGUAAAGCUCUGUUAUUAGGAAAGAACAGAUGUGUAUGAAUCUGUGGACAUCUUGACGGUACCUAAACAGAAAGCCCCGGCUAACUACGUG